UCGGAAAACCCUUGCGUGGUGCCCUAAGUCUCAUCCCAUCUUCAAAAAAUCCCUUCGUCUCUGCUUCAAAGAAUCAAACCCAGCCUCCUCCACUCCAACCAGCACACUACCAUCCUAGCCCGCGCCUCCGUCCUCCACUCCUCCACUCGCGUCAAAUAAUCGGCGAUUAUUUCAAGAAAUACCUUUCCUUGCAUUUGGUCGUUUUCACUCCCUCUUCGACUCCGUCGCCCGCCGCUCCGCCUUCGCCGCCGCUCGCUGGAAUACUUCCCUCCUCGAUGUCGGCGGCGAGCGCUGCUUCCAUUGCGGCGUGCUAGGAACCCUUUGCAGAGGUUGAUUUUAAGGAGUUCGUGGCGCAUUCGUCCGAUGUCAACUGUGUAACCAUCUGGAAGAACGCGAGGUGAACCUGCGGGCAAUUUUUAAACCAACGCCAUUAUUGGAGGCAUAGCAAAUUGGCUAUGGCACGUACAAAAUUUCAGCAUGGACGCUCUAUAAUUGGUCCUUCAAUUGCAACAGAUACCUUUCGUGAUCCUAUUCAGAAAAAUAUACCAUCAAGUAAUCACUCACUAAGGCAAUAUGGAAGUCACCUUCAGGAGAAUUUUUUUGAUUUGGGUAUUGAUAAUGACAACCUGUUUAGGUCUGAUGAUGACCAACCUAAAGAGAAUAUAGAUUCUUCUAAAAAGUCAAGGAAUGGGAGAGGUCCUACUCGCAUGCAUAAGAUAUGGGCUAGGCGUGAUGGUGAUCAGUUGGCACUAACUUUUAAUGAAUUUGAUCAGCCUAUUGGUGAUGAAGCUGCACAAUUCACGAAUUUUUAAGGCACGGUUGCUAAAAGUGGAAAAGAUGCACCAUUGACAUAUAAAGAUUGGAGGCACAUGCCUCUAGAUAAUAAAAAGAUUAUGUGGAAUAUUGUUAAAAGGUAUCAAUUUAUUAGUUAGUUUGUUUCUAUGUUUUAAUAUCUGGAAUAUUGUUAAGGUAUCAAUUUAUUAAUUAGUUUGUCUCUAUGUUUUAAUAUUUGAACAUUCAUAAGUAAACAAAUUUGUGAAUUUCUUACAGUUAAAGUAUAAUCUUGAAGAUGAUAAUUGGCCAUGGAUUAUGAAAGCUCUUGGAAAAAAAUGGAAGGACUUCAAAUCUGAUCUUAAGAAAAAACAUUACGAUGCUCACAAUACUUAUGAAGAUCGUCUUGCUGAUCGUGAUUUGAGAGUUCUUCCGGAGCAGUGGAGACAAUUGAUUGAAUAUUGGGAUAGUGAAGAAGGACAGGUACUUUAAUAAUUUUUUCAUUCUCUUUUGAUUUCAUUCCUCAUUUUUUCUAGUGUAGCUAUAUAGAUGUUUCUUUUAACCAAGUUGAUGUCGUAUAUAGAUGCACAGUUUAAGAAACAAAAGUAAUCGCUCUAAGCAAAUUACUACUCACACUGCUGGCUCAAAAAGUUUUGCUCGUAUUCGUGAAGAAAAGGUAAAGCACUAAAUUCACCUAUCAUUCUAAAUUGAUAUAUAUGCUAUUAUAUGAAUUCACUGAUUUAUAACCUUUUUUUUAUCAUGAGCAGCGAAAGGAACAAGAAGUAGUGCCAACUAGGGUUGAACUAUUUAAGAUUACUCAUGUUCACAAAAAUGGGGAUUCGAUGAAUGUAGAAUGUGCUAACAAAAUUGUAAGCAUAUAUACUAAUUUUGUUUUCUAAUUUUUAUUAGUAAAAAUUUUUAACUCUAUUGUCUAGAUAUUGAUAUGUUUUAGUUCAUUCAUUUAUAUUUAACUUCUGUUAAGAUAGUGUGGUUGGUGGUGUCCUGCACCUUUUACUUGUAAAAUAAAAGAGCACAAUAAUUGAUAUAUUGUACAAAUUAAGGAAGAUGAAUGGGAAUCAUAGAAAAGCUAGAGCAUGCUUAAGUGAUAUUGUGAUAUAUGCAUGAGUUUGCUCAUAACUAUAUAUUUUUAUAUAUUCAUGAUAUCGUGAUAUACAUGACUUUUUAUAGAGAGAGAUUGAUGUAAGGACUAAGAAGCAACCCCUUCUUGCCAAAAAGGGUGCCAAAGAAGUAAAUGAAUUUUUCUCAGAAGUAUUUGGAAAAGAAAAACAUGAUCACGUGCGUGGUCUCGGUUUGGGCCCUGCUCCUCAUAUUUGGACCGAUGCACCUUCACCUGCAGCAUGUAUAAGAAUGACAACUGAGGCUAGAAAGAAAGCAGAGGAGGAAACAAAAGAAAUGAAGGAAAAAAUGAUAGUUAUGGAGACUCAAUUGUCUGAAAUGAAAGCAAUGAUGACAGCUAUUUUGCAAAAUAAGUCUACUGAUGUUCAUCAAACUAUUUAUACACCUACUAAUCCAUUGGACGGCCGACAGGUAAACUUUAGUAAUUAAGUAUUUCUAAAAGAAUUUAUUAAAUAAUCACUUGUUGAAAUAUUAGUAUUAAUUAUAUCAUUUCUUUUAUAAUUGGACAUAAGGAAUAACAUGAUAUAAUUAAUACUAAUAUUUAAACAAGUGAUUAUUUGAUAAAUUCUUUUAGAAAUACUUAAUUACUAAAGUUUACCAGUCGGCCGUCCAAUGGAUUAGUAGGUGUAUAAUUAGAUUGAUGAACAUCAGUAGACUUAUUUUGCAAAAUAGCUGUCAUCAUUGUUUUCAUUUCAGCCAAUUGAGUCUCCAUAACUAUCAUUUUUUCUUUCAUUUUUUUUGUUUCCUUCUCUGCUUUCUUUCUAGCCUCAGUUGCCAUUCUUAUACAUGCUGCAGGUGAAGGUGCGUCGGUCCAAAUAUGAGUAGGAGCAGGGCCCAAACCGAGACCACGCACGUGACCAUGUUUUUCUUUUCCAAAUAUCUCCGAAAAUAAAUCAUUUACUUCUUUGGCACCCGUUUUGGCAAGAGCUGGUUGCUUCUUAGUCCUUACAUCAAUAUCUCUCUAUAAGAAGUCAUGUAUAUCACGAUAUCAUGAAUAUAUAGAAAUAUAUAGUUGUGAGCAGACUCAUGCAUAUAUAUCACAACAUCACUUAAGCAUGCUCCAGCUUUUCUAUGAUUCCCAUUCAUCUUCCUUAAUUUGUACAAUAUAUCAAUUAUUGUGCUCUUUUAUUUUACAAGUAAAAGGUGCAGGACAUCACCAACCACACUAUCUUAACAGAAGUUAAAUAUAAAUGAAUGAACUAAAACAUAUUAAUAUCUAGACAAUAAAGUUAAAAUUUUACUAAUAAAAAUUAGAAAACAAAAUUAGUAUAUAUGCUUACAAUUUUGUUGGCACAUUCUACAUUCAUCGGAUCCCCAUUUUUGUGAACAUGAGUAAUCUUAAAUAGUUCGGCCCUAGUUGGCACUACUCCUUGUUUCUUUCACUGUUUAUGAUAAAAAAAAGGUUAUAAAUCAGUGAAUUCAUGUAAUAACAUAUAUAUCAAUUUAGAAUGAUAAGUGAAUUUAGUGAUUUACUUUUUCUUCACGAAUACGAGCAAAACUUUUUGAGCCAGCAGUGUGAGUAGUAAUUUGCUUAGAGCGAUUACUUUUGUUUCUUAAACUGCGCGUCUAUAUACGACAUCAACUUGGUUAAAAGAAACAUCUAUAUAGCUACAGUAGAAAAAAUCAGGAGUGAAAUCAAAAGAGAAUGAAAAAAUUAUUAAAAUACCCGUCCUUCUUCACUAUCCCAAUAUUCAAUCAAUUGUCUCCACUGCUCCGGAAGAACUCUUAAAUGACGAUCAGCAAGACGAUCUUUAUAAAUAUUGUGAGCAUCGUAAUGUUUUUUCUUAAGAUCAGAUUUGAAGUCCUUCUAUUUUUUUCCAAGAGCUUUCAUAAUCCAUGGCCAAUUAUCAUCUCCAAGAUUAUACUUUAACUGUAAGAAAUUCACAAAUUUGUUUACUUAUGAAUGUUCAAAUAUUAAAACAUAGAGACAAACUAAUUAAUAAAUUGAUACCUUAACAAUAUUCUAGAUAUUAAAACAUAGAAACAAACUAACUAAUAAAUUGAUACUUUAACAAUAUUUCACAUAAUCUUUUUAUUGUCCAGAGGUAUGUGCCUCCAAUCUUUAUAUGUCAAUAGUGCAUCUUUUCCACUUUUAGCAACAGUGCCUAAAAAAUUCGUGAAUUGUGCAGUUUCAUCACCAAUAGGCUGAUCAAAUUCAUUAAAAGUUAAUGCCAACAGAUUACCAUCAUGCCUAGCCCAUAUUUUAUGCAUGCGAGUAGGACCUCUCCCAUUCCUUGACUUUUUAGAAGAAUCUGUUUCCAAAAAUUAAUCAUAUAAGAGCUAGCUAAAAAAUAAAUAUUCAGAUCAAAAAAAGUUCUAAACUAUAUUUCCAAGGUUUGAUGAAUGAAUACCUAUAUUUUCUUUAGGUUGGUCAUCAUCAGACCUAAACAGGUUGUCAUUAUCAAUACCCAAAUCAAAAAAAUUCUCCUAAAGGUGACUUUCAGAUUGUCUUAGUGAGUGAUUAUUUGAUGGUAUAUUUUUCUGAAUAGGAUCCCGAAAGAUUUCUGUUGCAAUUGAAGGAUCAAUUAUAGAGCGUCCGCGCUGAAAUUUUGUACGUGCCAUAGUCAAUUUGCUAUGCCUCCGGUAAAGCAGUUAAUAAAAAAUAAAUGCCAAGUCUUUUAGAAUUAGUAAAAUUCUUAUAUACUAAUUAAGAGAAGUAUUAAAGACUGAAAACAUAAAGAAAUAAGCAACCCACAGAAGUAGUAAAGACUAAAGCAAACAAGCAAAAUAUAUAUAUAAAAGAUUGAAGACAAAGUAAGAAUUAUUGAAAUUGAAAUCAAUUUAUAAGAGAUUGAAGACAAAGCAAUGAAUCAACCUUACAAAUGAAAAUCAAUCACACCGAUGAUCAUCAUCACCAAAUCCUUCGGUCUCUGAGUCCUCACUUUGUACAACAUCUUUUGGAUGAGUAAUAUCUAAAGGCGUAUUAAUAGUUGUUCCAGGUAUAUCUAUCCUCGUCCAAUUGCCAUUGUCAGUUUCAUUACUAGUGGAGCUAGGUGUAUUUAAAUUACUCUCUAAACCAUUUGGGUAGUAUAUCUCCAUAUUAUCUCCACACUCUUCCUCUUUUGCAGACAUAUCAAAUAAGUCUCUAGGUUUUGUUCCAACUACGACAUGCCAAUCUUCCUCUAAAAGGUCUUGUAUAUAAAAUAUCUGUUCCAACUACGACAUGCCAAUCUUCAUCAGUUUCUUCUUUUUUUUUUGAUUUUUUAUUUUUCAUGUAGAAAAAGUAUUUUUUUAUUUUAUUCUUUCUUUUUAUUUUUUUUAUUUUCUAUAUUUUUUUUCCUUAGCUUCGCUCUAAUUAAUCCGCACUUGCUUUGAGUCCUCUUUCUUCGGCGCUGAAGUUGGUGCCUGUGCUGGGGAAGGCGGAGGAAGAGAACGUAAUGCUGUUCUUGUUACCGUCGUGGAGGGUCGCGGAGGCGAUGGAGUGGGUCGAUGAGAAUAAAAAAAGAACGAAAGAAAAAAAGAUAGGAAGAGGACGCGACGCUACCUUCUUUACUACUUUAAAGAACCGGGGAAGUGGUGGAGGAGGGUCAGAGAGAGAAAAAAGAGGGUCGCGGUGCGGCCUCAGUGGGGUCGAAGGUGAGGAAGAUGGAGGGAGGGUGCGCGGGCAAGGGCGCGGGCGCUCGGGACAGUCGAGGCGUGCCGCCCUCGCUGCCCUCUUCGGAGAGAGAAAAAAAAGAACGAGAGCAAAAAAAAGGAUAGAGAAAGGGAAUAAAGAUAUUUUAGACAGUUUUCCGAAAAUUCAGCUCGUAUUUGAAAAAUCCAAAAAUGCGGCUUAUUUUUGCGAAAGCUCAAAAUUAGUAAAUUUUUUUAUACAAAUUGACCAAAAUGCAGAUAUGAUAGUAAAUAGUAUAUUAGAUAUGAUAGUAAAUAGUAUAUUUGGACACCUGGCUCUGUUUGGUUUAUGAAAUUUAAGUUUUUUAUUUGAAA